rnacentral:rRNA from 1 species
GACGUAGGGCGCGAGCGUUGUCCGGAUUUAUUGGGCGUAAAGAGCUCGUAGGCGGCUUGUUGCGUCGUUCGUGAAAUCCCGUGGCUCAACUGCGGGCUUGGGACGAUACGGGCAGGCUAGAAUUCGGUAGGGGAGACUGGAAUUCCUGGUGUAGCGGUGAAAUGCGCAGAUAUCAGGAGGAACACCGGUGGCGAAGGCGGGUCUCUGGGCCGAUAUUGACGCUGAGGAGCGAAAGCGUGGGGAGCGAACAGG